UCGGGUUUCUUGCUUUUCCUUAAGAGUAAGUGGUGCGGAUGGGUUUACUCCCGCCUGGUUUACAUGUUCCAGUCAAAAAUAUGUUGGUGGAGUCAAUUA
rnacentral:ncRNA from 1 species